rnacentral:rRNA from 1 species
AUACGGAGGGGGCUAGCGUUGUUCGGAAUUACUGGGCGUAAAGCGCACGUAGGCGGAUUAAAAAGUUAGAGGUGAAAUCCCAGGGCUUAACCCUGGAACUGCCUUUAAAACUAGUAGUCUAGAGUUCGAGAGAGGUGAGUGGAAUUCCAAGUGUAGAGGUGAAAUUCGUAGAUAUUUGGAGGAACACCAGUGGCGAAGGCGGCUCACUGGCUCGAUACUGACGCUGAGGUGCGAAAGCGUGGGGAGCAAACAGAAUUAGAUACCCUAGUAGUCC